AACAGCAAAAUGCUCUAUAGUAUGAUGCACAAAAUUUUGGGAGAUGAAAUACACGAACAAAAAAUCAGAGAGUCGGUUUGCUUGAAACUCACUUGGGGUGGGGGUCGGGGGUGCAACACCCCUAAUAAUUUCUCAUGAGGAAUUUCAGGUAGAUUUCCAGUGCACUUUUAGGUAAAUUUAAGUAGAUUUUCAGAAGAUUUUCAGUGGAAUUCAGGUAAUUCUCAAGACAUGAGAAAGUGAAUUUGAAAACAACUGUAUUUUCGGAAAAAUUAUUAUAUGUCCUGAAUUUUGUACAUCUGGAAACAUUUUGGUACCCCCCCAACCCCUCUAUCUAACCUCACACACACCCUGAGACGAAGUGCUAGCAACGGCACUGAGUAUACAUCUUUUGAAAACAGGCGAGGGGUUAUUGCAUGCAUGUAUUUCUAGUUUACUCAUAAUUUUUCGCGCAUUUUGCAGGGAUGCAUAUUAUAGCGGACCACAGGACCAUUGGUCGCAGAAAAUGUUUGAGGUUGGCAGAAAAAAAUGGAGGGUAAAACUUAAAAGUCUCAAAAGAACAAAGUAAAGAGAAAGAAAGGAAAAACAGAAAGGAAGAAAAUCAGAAAGUGACAUAAUUGAAUAAUAAGCUGUAGGUUGUGAACUAGUGAUAUUUGCAACAUACAGUUUCCAAUAAUAUAUGAAUACAACUACAAUAUGUGUAUUAAAAAAUCUGCGAGUGUGGUGAUUUCUUACAAUGUAGUAAAAAAUCAAAUCAGUCAAUAUUUUGUGACGUUAUAAUAUUUUGUAAAAGGGUAUAGUAUAUUUAUAGCAUGUUACUAUAUUUAGAGCGUAAUCGUGUUGUCUUCGUACAGCUGGCUCGCAUUUACCAGCAGUCCCAAGCAGUUACCCAUGCGCACAACAACAAAAACUUGUCAAACUUUUGUUUUACUGGUUUUUCAUUUAAUGUAUUCAUCUGUGAAUCUGGACGGCGGCUACAUGAAACGACUGUUCAUUCGCUUGCAGUGGUGUCUCCUCAACUCAGCUAGAAACUACUGCUAGCAGGAUAAAAUAUGUCUAUUUUGGUUUCAAAUCUAAUGAAAUGGUGCAUAGAAUACACUGAAUUUUAAAUAGUG